rnacentral:sRNA from 1 species
UGAUUUAAACGUGGCCAAUAGUUUUAGAGCUAGAAAUAGCAAGUUAAAAUAAGGCUAGUCCGUUAUCAACUUGAAAAAGUGGCACCGAGUCGGUGCUUUU